rnacentral:rRNA from 1 species
CUACGGGCGGCAGCAGUGGGGAAUAUUGGACAAUGGGGGAAACCCUGAUCCAGCAAUGCCGCGUGUGUGAAGAAGGCCUGCGGGUUGUAAAGCACUUUCGGUUGGGAGGACUGCUUCUAGCACUAAUAUUGUUGGAAGUUGACGUUACCUUCAGAAGAAGCACCGGCUAACUCCGUGCCGGCAGCCGCGGUAAUACGGAGGGUGCACGCGUUAAUCGGAAUUACUGGGCGUAAAGCGCGCGUAGGCGGCUAGAUCAGUCGGGUGUGAAAGCCCCGGGCUUAACCUGGGAACUGCAUCCGAUACUGUCUAGCUUGAGUACAGGAGAGGAGAGUGGAAUUCCACAUGUAGCGGUGAAAUGCGUAGAUAUGUGGAGGAACACCAAUGGCGAAGGCAGCUCUCUGGCCUGAUACUGACGCUGAGGUGCGAAAGCGUGGGGAGCAAACAGGAUUAGAUACCCUCGUAGUC